AGAAGCGAAGCGGUGACGUGGAGCAAACCUCAGAAAGCCAAUCUCAGUUCGGAUUGUAGGCUGCAACUCGCCUACAUGAAGUUGGAAUCGCUAGUAAUCGCGAAUCAGAAUGUCGCGGUGAAUACGUUCCCGGGUCUUGUACACACCGCCCGUCACACCACGAGAGUUUACAACACCCGAAGUCAGUGGCCUAACCGCAAGGAGGGAGCUGCCUAAGGUGGGGUAGAUGAUUGGGGUGAAGUCGUAACAAGGUAUC
rnacentral:rRNA from 1 species